AAGAACCCAAAUAGAUUGCAUUUUCGUUUCCCUUCUAAAUCCCAACUCACUUCUCUAAAAUGCUAAUCUUUUUAGCUCCGUCUUCUCCCAAAUGCCUUCUUCCAUCACAAAAACACCACCCCAACAAUCCCAAACCAACUAACUCCCAAACAAAACUCAAAAUCCAAUGUAUGACCAAACAAACAACCGAAUCCUCAACUCCAAUCGAAAAACUCUCCAUAGCUAGUGGACUAAUAUCAACACCAGUUAUUGGAUGGUCACUUUAC
rnacentral:lncRNA from 1 species